rnacentral:lncRNA from 1 species
GAACUGAAGAGGCGUAGAGCAGCCCGGGGUGCAGGUGCGCUCGGUACCAAGCGGUCUUCAUUCCUCCUGUUGCCGCCAGAGGGCUCAGAAAAAAAUGCAGACAACAUCAAACCUUUCUUGAAAAGCAGCUUCAGCUCAGAUCUGAUCUCAGACAUCAAAAGCCUUGACUCCAAAAUGGUGUGAAUUGGCUGCCAUCUGCUGGACUGGGACACAUAAAGGUGAAUUCUAGGUUUUAUGUAGCGUCCAGGAAAAUCAAAUCCCAGUCUCAAACACUAUGGUCUUAAUUAAUCUUUCUGAGAAUGUCAACAUGUACAUAUAGUAAAGAUUGAGCUUAAUUACAAUUGCAAUUUAUUGAUUGAAAAGGCACUUCACUAUAUUCUAAUGCAUUCAAGAUCAUUACAAAAUCCUGUUAUAAAUCAGGGUGAAACAUAUCACAAGAAAAUGACAUAUGAAAUAAUUUAUA